rnacentral:tRNA from 1 species
ACCCAGCUGGCUCAGUCGGUAAAGCAUGUGACUCUUGAUCUCAGGGUUGUGAGUUCAGGUCCCACAUUGGGUG